CGGGAUGUGGCGCAGUCGGUAGCGCGCUCGUCUGGGGGGCGAGAGGUCGCCGGUUCGAGUCCGGCCAUCCCGAC
rnacentral:tRNA from 1 species